UACGGAGGGUCCGAGCGUUAUCCGGAAUUAUUGGGUUUAAAGGGUUCGUAGGCGGCUAAAUAAGUCAGUGGUGAAAUCUCCUAGCUUAACUAGGAAAUGGCCGUUGAAACUGUAUAGCUUGAAUUAUUAGGAAGUAACUAGAAUAUGUAGUGUAGCGGUGAAAUGCUUAGAUAUUACAUGGAAUACCAAUUGCGAAGGCAGGUUACUACUAAUUGAUUGACGCUGAUGAACGAAAGCGUGGGUAGCGAACAGG
rnacentral:rRNA from 1 species